UUUUUUGCCGUCUGGUCAUCCUCGUCGGUCUUCUGCUUCUGGGUAUCGACAUCGUUAUCCUCAUCAUCUUCAGCUGCCCGCUUGCCCGUAGCUGACUCAGCUCCCUCAUCUUCAUCUCCAUCCUCUUCCUCACCAUCACCUUCUUCCUCCCCACCUUCUUCCUCUUCUUCAUCUACCUCGUUGUCAGCCUCCGGCUCCCCAUUUUCCUCAUUAGCAUUCCCGUGAGCAGGGGCGUCUCUUCCAUUUUCCGCCUCUUCCACAACUUCCUUCUUCUCCUUUAAGUCCUCGGUGGUGAUUUCGGAGCUGGUGUCUACGGCUGCGUCUGACAUGGUGGGGCACGCCGGUGACGCGAUGCAGGGGAUAAAAAAGAAAGCGACAGUUCAGGGACUCUGGCGAUAAAGCUGCCGGAGUCCGCGGCGGCGGAGGCGGCUGCGGCGAGCAAGGAGGCUGACGACGCACAAUGCAAAGACGGCUUUUCAGAGCAGCCAGUGGGGCAGGACAAUGUUUUUCAUCAAAUGUCCUUAGAUUUGGAGGAGGUUUCCCCAGUGUAUCCAGUGGUUGUCUUCCUCUUGAUUAAUAUUAAAGGAGGAGAAAAAGUGUGUAUUGGGGUCAGUGCAGAAAACAAAUCAUCCAAGCACACGAAGUGGAAUUUGCUAAUAGCAUUACUACUCACCCAGUGACUUCGGAGUCACAACCCAGGACACGGUUUUCCGCCCAUUUCUACAGACACAGUGAGAUUCUUCAUUCUUCUCUGUUGGAACAGCCAGGAAAGCGGAAGAGACCUCCAGCUGCACAACGACCUGUCCCCCACACCCAACCACAAGUUUAUGAAGGGAUGCAGAACAGCAUGAAUACUGCAAAAGAUGCUCUGUGCAUCAGGUAAAUGGACUGAGGGACAAUGUCCAUGAGUCCAGAGGCGCUGAGAAGCUGUGCAAAUAUGGUCAGCUCUAUCAGACACUUUGUAGUUUAGGUGUUUGAAACAAGAAAAUUGAAAAACUGACAGGAAUUAGGAUAAGUGUUUAGGAUUUAGCCUUGUGCCAACAGAAGAAAGAGGUGUUUAGUGAAAAACAUGAAACAAUCAGGUGGACAUAAUGUCUGAAUUUAGGAAUACACAGAUAUAGGAGCCUGAAUGAAUAUAACCUUACCACCUUGGGCCUGUCAGGUACCUUUUCUCUUAGUACCAGGUCUGCUCCAAAAUUAGGAUAUAUCAUAUGCAGUUCUGAUUUCCUGGGUUACCUAGGAGACCUGGUAAUGAAUGGUGACUAUCUUCUAUUCUCAUUCACUUCCAGAGAAGUGUCCUUACCCGAAUGCAGGUGGACAAGCAGUUAAACACAGUGGCUUUGAGUGUGAAGGCUUCUCCUCGCACCACAGAAUAAGGAAGGGUGAGUUCUAGGAAGAAAGGCUGGAAGGCUUGAAGAGACACGAUAGGAGAGAGGCCAAACCCUGUGGUUCCAGACAAGCAGAAUGCGCUGGCCUUCCACUCUGUGAUGGUUUCAGGGACCUGGUCACCAGCUCACUUAUACCUAAUGAGCUAGUGAAGGAGCAGAGAAGAGGAGUAUAAGCAAAUCUUUUUUUUUUUUUUUUAACACAAAGCAUGGCUGAUCCUAGAACAUGAUAACUCAGUAACCUAGUGUGGUAAAUGCUAAACUUGAUCUAAGGGUUGGUGCUCCUGGUGAGGUUUAAAGUUUUUUUUCUCCCUACCUCCCUUACUCCCUCCUUCCCUCCCUCCCUUUAUUUCUUCCUCUUUUCUUUCAUUCUUUCCUUCCUUUUGUUCUUUCUUUCAAUCUCCCUCCCCUCCCCUUCCCUUUCCUUUAUUUAAGAGGGCUGGUAGCAUCCUACUUUCUAUUAUCUUAGUUAUCAAUAGACUAAAUUAGAAAAAAAAUUAGCAUUGUUUAAUUAUGAGAUAAAUGAACUAUAAACCUAAAUAUUUACCAGAAAAGAGCAGAGCAGAACUAAAAGGAUCAGGAAUCCAGGAUAACAUCAGUCAUACAGCAGGAUUCAAACCCUCUCCUAAACUAAAUUCCAGGCAACACACAACUUACUCAACUACCACCAAAUCCCAGAUCCAGGUCUCAGGGAAGUACUUCCGGACUAUCUCUUUCACUUGCAAUAUCUGAGGUUCUUCUUCGAUCAUUGGGUACAUUAUUUCUACGGCUCCUGGGGGUACACCUCGCAGACCUGGUCCUGGAAGACAACACACAGGCCUCAGUGUGAACCUCAUUUUUAUCAUCAAUUUCUUAUUGCUGCCUUAUUUCUCAAAUGGAAUAAGGUCAUACGCUCAGGGAAUGUUUAUUAUUGGAACAAUUUAACCUACCAGCUUGUUAUUUUGUUCACUUUCCUAUAAAAAGGCUAAUCCUAUUUUUUCUUCAAAUAGAAUCUAGAGCUAAAUAUAUUUUUCUUUAUAAAUAAAAACAAAUGACCUGUACAUGUACCUCCUGAAUCUAAAAUAAAAGUUGAUUAAAAAAAAACAAA
rnacentral:lncRNA from 10 species